UCGUCGUCAGUUUGGUUCAUGGACUGCUGCCUUACAAGCGGCAGGAUUUGAUGAGCGGCCAUCGGUAGGUGGUUCCAGAAUCCCUGAUGACAAAC
rnacentral:tRNA from 1 species